rnacentral:rRNA from 1 species
UACGUAGGGGGCAAGCGUUGUCCGGAUUUAUUGGGCGUAAGGAGCGUGUAGGCGGCCAGACAGGUCCGCUGUGAAAACUCGAGGCUCAACCUCGAGAUGUCGGUGGAAACCGUCUGGCUAGAGUCCGGAAGAGGAGAGUGGAAUUCCCGGUGUAGCGGUGAAAUGCGCAGAUAUCGGGAAGAACACCCGUGGCGAAGGCGGCUCUCUGGGACGGUACUGACGCUGAGACGCGAAAGCGUGGGGAGCGAACAGG